rnacentral:lncRNA from 1 species
GGGGCCAAGUGAAUGGGCGGGGCCAAGGAAGCGGAGAGGGCGGAGAAGGGCAGGUCGGACAGGGUCUACACUGCGGGGAGCUCGCGAGGCUGCCCGCGAGGGGGGCGGUCGGGGUGCUGUCCUAGCGGCUUCCGGUCGUUGGAGGUGGGGUUCUGUAGUGCCCGCUUGGAGAUUGUGGGUUUUUUUGUUUGUUUGUUUGUUUGUUUCCGGCAACACCCGCUUGCCAUGAGGCCACAGAGUCAAGUAAGCCAUUUCAGAAGAAAGUGAGGUGUAGGAGUGAACUAAGUGCCUGAUCCAAGGAAUGGCCUGUGAUGAAAAGCUGGGUCUCCAGCAGGUGUGGCCCAGAUUAAAGGUGUGUACCACCACACCUGGAUCUGGGACUUGCUUUGUCCCAAGCUGAACUUAGAGACCUCCAUGCCUCCUACUUUGCCUGGGCCUAAGCUUUUCAUGGCCACUGUGCCGCAAGAGCUCCAUGCCAAGAUCCAGGUCAGAAACUUGUGUCUUCCAGCCUCAAGAUCUGAAUCACAGGCAGCAUGAGACCCCUUCAUCCUAGGUAUGUGAAGGAACCCACCCUGGCAGUAAGGGCCAUGCAUCCUGGGCAUUCCAAUGUCAUCAGCACUUCCCUCAUCCAUUCCAGGUCUGUCAUCACUCCUGGUACAACCUCUCUGCCCAGUUUUAAAACAAAACAAAACAAAUGAAAACCGCAAGAACUUUGAAGUGAUGCCUAGAAUAGCACAUAUGGAAGUAGAUCUACUUCCCUUCCUCCAUUCCUGGCACAAGAAACUGAUGAGCUAGGACUUGAAUAUUUGCCCAUUUUGGAAAGCCACACCAUCACCACAUCAAUCCUAAAAAAAGAAAUCAAAACAUAUGUUCACCAGGUUGAGGCCACAUCUGCCUCCCGAGUCUCUAUGAAUGUUGCUGAAAACCAGUGCGCCAUCCUCAGGAGCCUUUCUUCCAGCCGGCCGUUUCCUUUGAGUUGCCUGAGCAGUCAGUGCCUUUGAGACAGAGCUGUCAAAGCACCUCCCUAGUUUCCUAGUACUACACGUUUUGCCACCAAAUGAAUGAAAAGAAUUUGCUAUCAGCUAUUUUGGAAUGAGUAAAGAUGGGAGCGGGAAUGUCAAGAGUUUAAAUGAGCAACACGAACAGUUUGGACAUUUGCACUGGUGAAGUGAGGAGUCCCAGUAUGGUAGGCAAGUUAAAGGUUCACCUUGUUUUAUUACACAGCAUUGUUCUAGUCCUACUGAGGACUGAUAUAGCAAGUCUUCCUACUUCUGCAGGCAAAUCAGAAUAAAGAACUCCCCUACUUAAAGGUCCCUCAGGAUGUUUGCCUGUGAAGAAAACCAGCUCAGAGACCCUGGAAGCUCUCCUGUGACAGUAUGUCCUAAAGCCCAACCCAACCACCUGUUUACAUGUCUGUGCUUCUGAGAACCUAGAUGCAGCUACAUAGGCACUGCUACCAGAAAAGAGUUGAGGUAGCCGGGUGGUGAGGAAGAGAUCUCUCCUUUCACACCUGCUUACGACGAUGACAUUGGGACCUCUAUAGGCAUCUCCAUUCCAUUCCUCAGCAGGCUAUGCCACAGAGCUCACAGCAGGAGACUCAAUGCAGGAAGAGUACCAGAAUGUCCACUGAGAGUCGGGUAAGCAUGAAAACCUUCACAGCUUACUGUACGAUGAAAUGUCAUCACAGGAUUUCUGAUCUUGGUUUGAGAAUCUUAUCCAGGACUCACAGGGGCUCAUGGUGCCCAUGUUCAACCCUAACAUGGUGUUCACUUCUGAAGCAUGGAGGUUGUGGAUCAACUCUUGGUACACAAUAAACU